GUCUGGCUCAGGAUGAACGCUAGCUACAGGCUUAACACAUGCAAGUCGAGGGGCAGCAUUCCAGUUUGCUUGCAAACUGGAAAUGGCGACCGGCGCACGGGUGAGUAACACGUAUCCAACCUGCCGAUAACUCGGGGAUAGCCUUUCGAAAGAAAGAUUAAUACCCGAUGGCAUAAUAGAACCGCAUGGUUUGAUUAUUAAAGAAUUUCGGUUAUCGAUGGGGAUGCGUUCCAUUAGGCAGUUGGUGGGGUAACGG
rnacentral:rRNA from 1 species